AUUGAACGCUGGCGGCAGGCCUAACAAAUGCAAGUCGAGCGGAGCGGAGGACGGGUGAGUAAUGCCUAGGAAUCUGCCUGGUAGGGGGGGAUAACGUCCGGAAACGGGAGCUAAUACCGGCUAAUAUCAGAUGAGCCUAGGUCGGAUAAGCUAGUUGGUGGGAUAAAGGCAUACCAAGGCGACGAUCCGUAACUGUUCUGAGAGGAUGAUCAGUCACACUGGAACUUGGACACGGUCCAGACUCCUACGGGAGGCAGCAGUGGGGAUUAUUGGACAAUGGGCGAAAGCCUGAUCCAGCCAUGCCGCGUGUGUGAAGAAGGUCUUCGGAUUGUAAAGCACUUUAAGUUGGGAGGCGUUACCAACAGAAUAAGCACCGGCUAACUUCGUGCCAGCCGCCGCGGUAAUAC
rnacentral:rRNA from 1 species